rnacentral:ncRNA from 2 species
AAAUGAGAUAGAGGCGCGGAGACGAUGAAGUCGCGGGAGCCGGCAGGCGAGGAACGCGGCGGGGGCAGAUCCGCCGAACUCCCCGUCCGGGCGCGGGCGGAGGGUGGGCCCGUGAGAAAUACUCCCGGGACUGUCCGCGGGCUUGCCUGCGGGAGCGCUAUCCGCUUA